GGCUCAGAGUGAACGCUGGCGGCGUGCUUAACACAUGCAAGUCGCACGAGAACGCUUCUGCUUGCAGGGGCUAGUAAAGUGGCGCACGGGUGAGUAACACGUGGGUAAUCUACCUUCGGAUUGGGGAUAACAUUGCGAAAGCGAUGCUAAUACCGGAUAAUAUCGUUGGUUUUUCGAAUCCAUCGAUCAAAGAUGGCCUCUUCAUGAAAGCUAUUGUCUGAAGAUGAGCCCGCGUCCCAUUAGCUUGUUGGUAGGGUAACGGCCUACCAAGGCAACGAUGGGUAGCUGGUCUGAGAGGAUGAUCAGCCACACUGGAACUGACACACGGUCCAGACUCCUACGGGAGGCAGCAGUGAGGAAUUUUGCGCAAUGGGCGAAAGCCUGACGCAGCAACGCCGCGUGAGUGAUGAAGGCUUUCGGGUCGUAAAGCUCUGUCAAGUGGGAAGAACCUGUAAAGUGCCAAUACCACUUUGCACUGACGGUACCACUGAAGGAAGCACCGGCUAACUCCGUGCCAGCAGCCGCGGUAAUACGGGGGGUGCAAGCGUUACUCGGAAUCAUUGGGCGUAAAGGGCGCGCAGGCGGCCCAAUAAGUCAGAUGUGAAAGCCCGGGGCUCAACCCCGGAAGUGCAUUUGAAACUGUUGGGCUUGAGUAUGGGAGAGGAAAGUGGAAUUCCUGGUGUAGAGGUGAAAUUCGUAGAUAUCAGGAGGAACACCUGUGGCGAAGGCGACUUUCUGGACCAAUACUGACGCUGAGGCGCGAAGGCGUGGGUAGCAAAC
rnacentral:rRNA from 1 species